UAUAAUUUUAUCACACUCCCUUUACCUACCCAACUUUUCAGAUCUUAAAUUUAUUUAAAUAUUAUGACUAGAAUUCCCAAAAUCAUUUAGAAUAUACAUGUGUGAUUUAACAUGGGAACAUGGGUUGUCAUGCCCAUCUGCUGUGUAAAAUCUAAAAACUUCUGUCAAAGCUUAAUAUGUCAUGAGCUAGAAGUAGCAUUCUAAUGCAGAGUGGUCAGAGUGUAUGAAGAGGAUCACAAGCCAGGCACAGCGUGAUCACCUUCAGUCCCAGGUACCAGUUGCCUAAAGUGGGAGAAUUGCAUGUUUAAAGCUUUUGAGACACAUGGUGAAUUCAUGACCAGCCUGAGCUCUGUAGCAAGACCAUGUCCCAAAAUGAAAACAAUAACAAAACAUCUUAACACUGAGCAAUUUUGUGGUAGGAAACCCAGCUAAAUGCUUUAUGAGUGUUCUUGUUGAAUUGUCCCAGUAUGUCCUGUGAGAUGAGUAUAUUUUGAUCACCAUCUUAUGAUUGAGGGAUUUAGGUGUGGAGAUGAAAUAAUGGGUAGCUGAUAAAUAUUGUCCAUAUGUCAGAAGAAAAUUGUUUACUGAUGUAAUAAUGUUUACAGUUACAUGAAUAAUUGUGUCUUUGACUUAGUCUUAUAUAAAUUCUUAAAAAUCCUCAUUUCUACAGAUCACCUAUGCAUUAUGCUUGUGCAUAUGGCCAUCCUGAUAUAGUGACCAUCCUACUACGCUGGAAUUGUGACAUUGAGCUCCGUGACAGUUACAAAAGCACAGCACUAAUUAAGAAGUGACCUGACAAGUCAAGUUGAUAGAGCACUAUCUACCAUCUGCCAACCCAUGGCAGAACAAGGAUCUUUUAAGGACUGGGACCUGCAGCUCUGAGGAAUGUCUGCCCCAUGCCUAAAUCACAAGCACAGUUGAGACUUAUCCUGAACCCACCAGGAUUUCGGUUUGUGAGGUCUGGUUGGAGCAGGCUACCCUAACUUUGGUCCCAUCUGCCAAGCUGCAUGGGUACAAGACAGAGGUGAGAGAGAGGAUCCUCCACCAAUCCACACCUUCACAAACUGAAGAGCAGAUCCAGAGGCAGAGAUGAGUUUAGACUUAGGGAACAGGUGGUGGACAUCUGAUAACCUAAGCUACAGAUCUAUACAAGAGGACAGGAGGUCAGCACCCAUCCUGCUACAGUCACCCCUGAGAGGCAGAAGGCCCUCCAACUGCCCCAUCCUCUAGCCAGUCUUCCUGUCUCUGAUAAACUAGGAGUCCACAACUACCACACCCUUGCAGUUAUCAUGCUGUGCCAGAUGCUGUCGGAGUUCAUGACUCCAUAGGUAGCUAGGAAUGCUGGUGGCCUCCUUCCUUGUAAAGCUUCCAUGGCAGCUUGUGGUAUGAUGAAAGCUAGUCUUUAGAAGGAACCUUUCAGGUCAGUUCCAGCUUAGGAGCCUCUGGGCCCUGUUCCUGAUUACAUGUUGUCUUCAGCAAUAGGGACUUACCUUCCACCUUGAGGGGUCAACCAAGGGCAAGAGCAACAGGCUAACCCAUGUGCAAACACGUAGGCAUGUGCAUGUGCACAUGCACACACACAGAUAAACAUGCGUGCACACAAGCAUACACAUGCACACAAAGAGGCCUGCUCAUGUCUGGUAUUGAGAUUUUUGUUGAGUGGUCUCGGCUCUUGGAAGGGACAGUGAACAUUCACUUCUUGCUCAGCAGGAGUUUGCUGAAUGGCAACUAGGUAGAUCUCUGACAAGGUGUGGAGACUGGCAGCCUGGUUUGGAUACCAGAUCUCUUGCUCCCUAUGUUGAACAACUGCUAAACACAAGGUGACACUCCCUUAUUCCUAGACAGGUUUCAUGACAGCUUCACCUGGUGGCCCUGACACAGGGUUUUUCAGAGAGGCUUGUAGGGCUCUGGCCCAGGUGCAUAAGCACAUAAAUAUGGUCUUGUGCCUAAAUGGUCUUUCUUUUGCAGUUGGUUUUUUGAGAAGGUCUCACUGUUUAGCUCAGCCUGGCCCAUAAUUCAUUGUUUGCCAGGAUGGCCUUGCACUGCAGGCAGUCAUUGUUCCUCAGCCUUCAGUCAGCCAGACAUCUAAACAGCCAGCUUGAUUCUAGGACAGCUUAAUGGCAUUUCCUGACUUCAGUGCCACCCUCCCCUUUCUCUUCCUCUACAGCCAUGGCAAAUACCCCUGGACAGAUCCAGAAUGCUUUCAACUCACUUUGCCUCUGUGUGUGCUAUAUACCCCCACCCAUGAAAGCAUCUCAGAAAGCUACACUUACAGUGUUGUGAGGGCCCAUGGCCUACAGUGAGGUCCAUGUGGAGGUUGGCUGACCCAGCUCGCCCAGCACUGAUAUGACAGUGAGCCUAAUCUCACUGACUGUCUAAUCAUGGCACUAACAUGUAGCACCAUAAGCACUGAGCUGGCUCUGCAGAGAUGCCAAAGGGUUGGCUGCCCCAUGGAAAUCCUCAGCCUGCUGUGAGUGCCAGAGAGACUGCAGUGGUGAGGGCUGGGAUAUGCUAUCAGAAGGGCCUCUUGUUAGCAUGUGGCCUACAGCUGUGGGUGUGGUUGAGGGGCCUGUGUGUCAAUGCAUUUACCCAGGUAUGUAAAAUGUUCAGAGGCACAUGGAUCACAGCUCGUGGGAGCCUAAUGCAGGACUAUUGUUACAAGUUGAGAAUUUAUUCAAAUAAAAUAAACAAGUAAGAAAAUUAAAAGCAGAAACAAGUGUGGCUGUGUGGGUUUGCAAGACAGACAAUGGUUCACAUACAAGUGUGUGAGGACACAUGAGUGGGUGCACAAAUGUCUGCGUGCCUAUGAACAUGCACUUUGUGCAUGGAUAUGUGUGCAUGUUUGGCACAUCCAUGGUAAGACUGUAUGUAUGUGCUGGAGGGGUUGAGCACAUAUGCAAGGUUCCCACACAAGCACGCUCGUGUAUACAAGUAUAAGAAUUUGGGAAUACGUGUACACUUAUAUCUUCUAGGAUGUUUAAGACCACAUAGGCACCUGUGCUAGAUAGUUUUAUGACUACUUGACACAAGCUAGAGUCAAUGGAAGGAGUUAUCCUCAACUGAGAAAAAGCCUCCAUAAAAUAUAGCUGUAGGUAAA